rnacentral:rRNA from 1 species
UACGGAGGGUGCAAGCGUUGUCCGGAUUUAUUGGGUUUAAAGGGUGCGUAGGCGGCUUUUUAAGUCUGGGGUGAAAGCCCGUUGCUCAACAACGUAACUGCCCUGGAAACUGGAGAGCUUGAGUACAGACGAGGGCGGCGGAAUGGAUGCUGUAGCGGUGAAAUGCAUAGAUAGCAUCCAGAACCCCGAUUGCGAAGGUAGCUGCCUAGGCUGUAACUGACGCUGAUGCACGAAAGCGUGGGGAGCGAACAGG